UGUUUUAUUUGAUUCCGUAGAAUUUCAAUGCUAUGUUUGCAGUCACUGAGGUUUUGAACUGAUCCACUUUUGUAAUUUCAGGCGAAGGCCCUCUACAAUAAAAAUUAAGAAAAACUAGACAAUUUAGAGCCAAGAUCAUACAAGAUGAAAAUUAUUGUUUUUGUGAACUCCUAGCACAAGUGUCUUUAACAUUAUUGUUUCUCUUGCUGAGAUCAUAUUUCAAUAGAUCAGGCCAGCAUCAAAUAAAACUGUGAGCCAACAUAAUUUUACAAAAGUUCCACAUCCACCCUUUUAUGGGUUGAUUCUCAAAAGUGAUUAUUGACUAUAUGAACUUCUCCACCUGCAUGCGACCACAGAUGCUAUAUUGAUAUGAUGAUGCAGCAUUAUUGACAUGAUUUUUCAAAUUGAGUAAAGAGAUAAGUAAACAAAGAAGAAUAUCUUCAUCUUUCAAACUAUUUACAUUGUUUGAGCAGGUCCCCAAGCAACCCUCUAAUCUUUAUCUAUAUCUAUAUAAAUAUUAAAUAUGCUCACAAAAUGCUGCCAUGUGGAGCUCUAUUAGACUGCCAUAUGUUCCCCUAUUUGCCUUUAUGAUCAUCUCUAUCUCCUUUAUCAUGAUUUAUCCCCAUUUUCAUCAACGUUUUAUCUCUAAUUAUGAGCUUUCCGUUACCAUGCCUUUCUUUUCGUCUUUCCCUCACAGUUUUUUAACUCCUCUACCAUCUCAUUUGCUAAUGCAAAACUACAGACAGGGACUCACUGGACAUGUGGAAGAACGUUGUAGCUUGUGAUGAGAAGACUAUUGCUGUGGUUUUACAUCCAAUCUGCAAGAUAAAUUGAUGAUAUGUAGAAAGUGAUGGGUGUAUUCACAAUGCUUCUAUUCUAUACACGUGAAAUAUGCUUGCAAUGCUGAAAGUUGUUGUUUUAUAGUGGUUUAGACAAUACUAAGGUGAUAUAAAUGUGCUUUUGAUUUAAUUAGCGUACUUCGCUAUUAGUUUUGCAAAUGUGCUUUAUGCAGCACAUGAAAUGCUGGUAUAUUAAUGCCAUAAUUUGUUUUAAAAACUAUAUUCUAAAAUAACUACUUGGAUCUUUUCUUAUCUACAUCUAUAUCUAUAUCUAUAUCUAUAUCUAUAUCUAUAUCUAUAUCUAUAUCUAUAUAAAAAGCUGGUUCCUAAAAUAGAUUAUUGCUUGUUUUUAAUUUUAGCCCCACUUUCAUCAAGGCUUUUUGUAUUUCAGUUCUCUGCUUUCCGUUACUUUGUUAUCUCCUUUUCAUCCUCCCCUCAAGGUUUAACUACUCAUAUUGCUAUUUGCCAAUAAAUCCAGAGCCAAGAUCAUACAAGCUGAAAAUUGAGGAUUAGAAUGAUAGGAACUCACACAUGGACAUGUCGAAUAACAUUAUCGAUCGUCACAAUGGGACCUCUGAAUUUCAACAGCCCACAAAAAGAGUGUCAGGAAUGUGGCACAAUCAGCAUCAAGUUCCACAAGAGCGAUGAUGCGAGUCAAAGAGUGAAUCUGAAGAAGAAAGAUGACUUCCAAAAGAUUUCAGAUUUUACCAAGUAGGAUAAUGAUAGGAUUCAACAAAUGUAAGUUGGUGAUCAGGCCAUGGCAACUAUUCAGGAGCUCAUGCCAUUCUCAAAGGGAGGAAGAGUUAAUAAUAAGAAAGUAACGGAGUUCAUCGAGAAAAGUGGAGGCGACAGCAUCGAUAGAGGAGGAACUGAAAAAUAAACAUGUUGGUAAAACCCAUUAUUUGUUUACUUAUUUUUUAGUUCAAUGUAUUUGAAUUGUUUGUCAAAUCUUUAGAAUCAUUGGAUUUGAUAUGCUUUGAUUUUUUUUAUUAUGUUCUAUUAUUGAUAAGUAUUAUUAUUGAUAAGUAUAAUUAGUGAUGUUACUCUAGCUCAAUAAAUCUUAAAUUAUUAAAUAAGG
rnacentral:lncRNA from 1 species